rnacentral:rRNA from 1 species
UACGUAGGGGGCAAGCGUUGUCCGGAAUUAUUGGGCGUAAAGGGCUCGUAGGCGGUUUCUUAAGUCUGAUGUGAAAGCCCACAGCUCAACUGUGGAGGGUCAUUGGAAACUGGGGAACUUGAGUGCAGAAGAGGAGAGUGGAAUUCCACGUGUAGCGGUGAAAUGCGUAGAUAUGUGGAGGAACACCAGUGGCGAAGGCGACUCUCUGGUCUGUAACUGACUCUGAGGAGCGAAAGCGUGGGGAGCAAACAGG